rnacentral:lncRNA from 1 species
CCCUGGUGAACUCUGGAGAGACUUCGACACCUCCCCCAUCCUGCAGUUUCGGCUGAGGAAUCCGGCAGCAGGAGGAGUGUGAACUCCAGCCAAAGGUGAGGUGCUGUGUUCCAAGGAUUUGGGGUACAAUAACAACACAUCAUCCAUGCUAAGGGAUUACUGUGCCUUGCAUUAGAAUAAGGAGGAGACUGAAGCUUCACCCAGACAAGCCACCAGAAAACAAGAUAAAGCUCUUGUCUCAAUCAUUUUGAAGGAUACACAGCCCUUCGGUAUAGUGUAUGAUGUUGGAUUCAGGAAAUUUGUGUCCGAGAUGAAUCCCAAUUAUGUUCUCAGUCGAAACAAAGCAGAGAGGAAAUCCCCCAGGCUUCCACCUCUUACGAGGUCACUGGAGGUAGUUUAUCAUUUUACAUUUUUACAAUGUUAACCCCUCCGAUUUUGCUGC